UACGGGGGGGGCAAGCGUUGUUCGGAAUUACUGGGCGUAAAGGGCUCGUAGGUGGCCAACUAAGUCAGACGUGAAAUCCCUCGGCUUAACCGGGGAACUGCGUCUGAUACUGGAUGGCUUGAGUUUGGGAGAGGGAUGCGGAAUUCCAGGUGUAGCGGUGAAAUGCGUAGAUAUCUGGAGGAAUACCGGUGGCGAAGGCGGGUCUCUGGGCAGUAACUGACGCUGAGGAGCGAAAGCGUGGGGAGCGAACAGG
rnacentral:rRNA from 1 species